CAUGAAGCUGGAUUCGCUAGUAAUCGCGCAUCAGCCACGGCGCGGUGAAUACGUUCCCGGGCCUUGUACACACCGCCCGUCAAGCCAUGGAAGCCGGGGGUGCCUGAAGUGCGUGACCGCAAGGAGCGCCCUAGGGUAAAACCGGUGACUGGGGCUAAGUCGUAACAAGGUAUC
rnacentral:rRNA from 1 species